UCCGUUUUAGAAAAAGGUCAUGUACACACAUUAUCGCUUUUAAAUAAAAUCCCAUCCACACAAAACCGGAUAAAUAUGAUAUUGACCGCCGUUAUGAGCAUGCCAGACCUGAAGUUGGCAGUAUUUGCCAUAAUGUUAUAUCCAUUCUAUCCAAUCAGAGCAAACUUCCCUUUCUCGUCAUCACUUCCCCAAACAUGAAACAUAGCGCCCUGUAGUUCAUUCGUGAGGAUCGACAAAGAGUCAACAAGACACAAGAAAGAUGGAGGAAGGGUUAUUUGGUGUAGAAGAACCGACUGCAAAGCACUCCUUCUUCUUUGCUCCUCACAAAAAUGUAUAUUAUAAAAAUAUCUUUGCUGUCCACUGCCUGACAUAAACAAGGGCGCAUAGUAUAUGACGUCUAUCUUUUAGUUGUUGUGGACAAUGACGUUUGGGAAUUUAAAACUCUGGUUAUCUUUAUCCACACGCAAACGCAACACUAGAGUUUUCCAAAAGCACCACUUUAAUGACGUAAUCCUGUGGUUUCAUAUGGAUGGCAGGCCAAAACAUAUAAAAAUAUAUUUGUUUUAGUAAAUAUCCAGCUACGUGUGGACAAGACCUUAGUCUGUUUUUUUAUUCCCAGCAUUUUGAGCUCUAAAGGCCAAAAGUCUAAUCAUCAUUUUAUCCUUAUUUCAAAUCUCUUCUUUCAACUUCAUUUUUUCGCUGUUACAUCAUGUUUUUGGCCAUACGACUCCUAAAACAAAGUUUAAAGAAAAUGUCCACAUGAUUUUACAGGUAGCUGAUAACAUUUUCUGUUUAUAUGGUCAGAGUCAAAACCCAAAAGCCUUAAGAUACCAAUUACAAAACCAACAUCCAAUGAUAGGGUGAAUGAUCCGACGGUUAUGCAAUUUUCACAGGUAUAAGUGUUGCAAAACCAUCACUUUCUCUUUGUCUGUGCUUGGCUUUAUUCUCAGUCCCCACUGAAGCAUUAUUGUCUCGGCUGUAUGUGUUCCAGCGAAGGUUGUGAUGGAUUUCUUCAAGAUCUCUGAAAGCCACAAACAAUGGAGUUAUGAAACCGCCUCUGAA